rnacentral:rRNA from 1 species
UGAGGAAUAUUGCACAAUGGGGGAAACCCUGAUGCAGCAACGCCGCGUGGGUGAUGAAGGUCCUCGGGUCGUAAAACCCUUUUCUGGGGGAAGAGAUGGGACGGUACCCCAGGAAUAAGUCCCGGCUAACUACGUGCCAGCAGCCGCGGUAAAACGUAGGGGGCGAGCGUUAUCCGGAAUUAUUGGGCGUAAAGCGCGUGCAGGCGGCUUGGUAGGUUGGACGUGAAAGCUCCUGGCUCAACUGGGAGAGGUCGUUCAAAACCGCCAGGCUUGAGGGUGGAAGAGGGGAGUGGAAUUCCCGGUGUAGUGGUGGAAUGCGUAGAUAUCGGGAGGAACACCAGUGGCGAAAGCGGCUCCCUGGUCCACAUCUGACGCUCAGACGCGAAAGCGUGGGGAGCGAACGG